UAUACCCUGCACUGAAGCUUUGUAAGUGAAGCUUUGAAGCUAAAGCUCUGUAAAUGAAGCUUUUAAAGCUAAAGCUUUUGUAAAUGAAGCUUUUGAAGCUAUUUGACAUGAGUGAUGCUCAUGAAUGUUUGAUUGACAUGAGUGAUGCAUGGAUGUUGACAUGAGUGAUGCUCAUGAAUGUUAACAUGAGUGAUGCUCAUGAAUGUUAACAUGAGUGAUGCUCAUGAAUGUUAACAUGAGUAAUGCUCAUGAAUGUUGACAUGAAUGAUGGUCAUGAAUGUUUAUGUAUGAUUGUCAUUAGUGAUGCUCAUUAAUGUUUAUGUAUGAAUGACAUGAGUAGUGUUCAUGUAUAAUUUGGAGUACUAGGCGUACUUUUGAUCACCUGGUUGGUGGCAUGAAGGAGAGUACGGGUUGUACAUUUCAUCACCUGGUUGGUGGCAUGAAUGGCUAGUUACCAAAUUAGAGUACGAGUUGUACAUCUCAUCAUCGGGUUGGUGGCAUGAAU
rnacentral:lncRNA from 1 species